GGGUGUGAGGGUGAUCUGGCUGCAACAUCUGUCACCCAUUGAUCUCCAGACUGGCUUCAUGGGUUCUGGCUGGCAAGGCUGGGUCUCCUUCCUCCCUUACCUCUCAGUAUAUCUCUUCUUGAGCUGCACACUGCCUUCCACAGUAGGGUGAGCUGUUCUUCAGAAAAGAGGAUACUUUUCUGA
rnacentral:snRNA from 1 species